UACGAAGGGGGCUAGCGUUGUUCGGAUUUACUGGGCGUAAAGCGCACGUAGGCGGAUCGAUCAGUCAGGGGUGAAAUCCCAGAGCUCAACUCUGGAACUGCCUUUGAUACUGUCGAUCUGGGGUAUGGAAGAGGUGAGUGGAAUUCCGAGUGUAGAGGUGAAAUUCGUAGAUAUUCGGAGGAACACCAGUGGCGAAGGCGGCUCACUGGUCCAUUACUGACGCUGAGGUGCGAAAGCGUGGGGAGCAAACAGG
rnacentral:rRNA from 1 species